rnacentral:lncRNA from 1 species
GUUGGCUAAAGAGCCAUAACAGCAUGCCCAAUAGAAUCAGUUCGAAUAACAGGGAUUUUAUCAGGAAAGAAAUUCUCCAGAGGAAGCAUCAUUACUUGGUAGUGAGGCCUGCAGCUGCAUUCCAAAUCCUGUUCCUAGCAUCCCCAGCAGGACAGAGGACCCCGGAGUGGUCACAGACAACAUGAUCCCCCAGCCCCAGAAGCCACGGCUGCGGUGCAGGCACGAGAGCUACGAUGAGAAGUGCGAGCGGCGGCAGGAGAUGCGGGAGAACCUGCGGCGGCAGCACAACGUGACAGCGUGCCGCCACGUCGGGACGGGGACACCGGACCCACUGCAGAGCCCCCGGCAAAGGGAGUUCCUGAGGCGGAGGAACCUGGUGGGUCAUGCUGGAAGGACACCGCCGGGACAGCGCAUCCCCCUGGAGCCCUCUGCGCAGCUGGAGCUGAGACCAUCCAUCCUGCUCCAGCGCCCAUGGAGCUGCCCCACGUUUCCCCCUGCUCUCUCCCCGCUCGGCCUCAGCAUCCCCCGCAGCACUUCAGCAGAAGCCAUCCCCAGGCGAGGUGUGAACACCCAAGGAACACAGACCCUUACAAACCCAAGGGCAGGAGCAAAAGACUCAAGUCAACAGACAGAUUGUGGAAUAGCAGUUUUAAAUAAGGAAAUGGUGCAGUUAUCCAACUACCUCAAGUCCCUGAUGAAGAGUCCCUCAAUGAAUGAAGGGGUGCUGCCUGCCCAAUCACAACAUGGCCAAGGAGUCCUACACAUGAGCCACAGCACACCAAGACCUGUCUGUCCCCGCUGACCAGCUCUCCCCUUCCCCAUAGGAGGCCCUGCACCGCG